ensembl:lncRNA
UGUUGGUUUUGAGCAGUUGUGCCACUCGCCACACAGGCAAAAAAGCUAAAUUGUUUGUUACAAAAACAAAAUUAAAGAUUGUAGUGCUUGCCAGCAUGAAGCGAUUGCAACUCACAGUUCAUCUCCUCGUAAAUCAUAACCCCUCCUGACAUUCGACAGAUCACAAAGUCACUUCAGAUACAAAUUCACAUUUCAUUCCCUUCAUGUCUGAGCCUGUCAAAGCAGGUUUUCUGUCACAGUGUUGCCCGGGUCUCCUGUCGUCUCUCAGGCUCCUCCAGGCCCGGCUAGCUGCCGUCCCACAGCUCUGAUUAGCAUUAACUCUCGGGUCCUCUUCUCAAGUUGCAGUUCAGCUAAUGAGAUAGCUCUGGGUCACAGGGAAAUUGAGUGGUCUGGAGAAAGAGAAAAAAAAAACCAACAACAGGGACCUUGAGCCCGACUUGCACCCAGUGGACACAUUUGAUGUACAACAAACAGAAAGUCCUGUUAGCGCAAAGAAAUAUCAGGAGAUGGUGAGAUACUCACUGAAGAGGCUGAACUUUCAUGGAAAAAAACGGAUUUAAAAAAAAUCAUUUACCUACAUGAAUAUCCAGAUCAUUAAAUCAGCCAUUGCAUUUUAUCUCAUGGAUUACAGAUAAAAUAAAUUACCAUUAUCUGCAAAGUCCCAACAGAUAUUUAAUCCACUCCACGUCCCCCGGUCCUCCCCCGUGGUUCACAGUUAGUGCCAUUCUAAUUUCCCUCUCUCCCUCCAUCCUCACCCCAUCUCUCCCUUUCUGUCCACAGCAGUUGUCCAUGCACUAUCAGCUGCGGGAAUGCUGAAUGCACACUUUACACGUUUUGCCCAAAGAUUUGCAUAUCUGCAAGUUAACUGCUGUGAAUGUAGUAGAUGUAGUGGAAAGAGCUGAGAUGCAGAGGUGCAGAAAAGGAGUGAUGGAUGGACGGUGGGAGGAGAGGGACUGUUGAUCUUACAUAACUGUUCCUGUUAAAGCUUAAUUACCGGUAUGCUCCAAUGCUUCAUGCUUCAUAACAUUCUCGGUCCUCUCGUCUACUGUCAGCUGGAGCCGAACUCAUUGUUCACAAAUGUAAAAUAACGUCUUCAUGGUCUUAUAGGGUGCCUGGUAUAGUGGCGCUAGCAGCUUAAGCAGGAGUGAAGUAGCUUUAGUUUAAGUUAGCUUCUUAGCACACUGCAGAUAGCACUGUCAAGUCUCAUUUAAAAGUCAAGGUGGGCUUGAGUCUUUGGGAAUGUUUAACCAUUAUAUAAGCAACUUCAGACAGGUUUUCCAUUCCCUUUCAUUAAAUGGAUAGAGUUUAGGGAGAAUCGGGAGAAUUUGCUGAAGGUGGUUUCACACUGGAAGAAGAGUCUGAAUCUUGUUAGCUCUCUAAAAGCCUUGGUUAUGUUAAUGGGAAUAAACCUUUUCUCAGACAAAGAAAAGUUACUAAUUCUAAAUUUAGUGACCUGAAAUUCAGUUUUAGAUGAUUAGCCUGUUAAUGCUGUUUAAAUUAAGCGUAAGCUUUGUCAAUAAGAGAGCAAUAGCUAUGUAUAUAGCUAGUAUUCGCUGGCUAAAUAGCUAGCUAGCACUAGCUAUGUAUAAUGCUAGUGGUUUUAUACCAAAAAGCACUAGCUAUAUAAAAACAUAUGUAGCUAGAGAACUAGCUUGCGAGCACUGAUUAUGUACAAGUGUAAAAGCAUAAAAGCAGACCAGUAGAGUUAGAAAAAGGCAUCAAAACCAGUGUAAAAACAACCUUCAGACAUUCUCUGUAGCCACAGUUAGUUGUUUAGACACAGUCCUUUGAGGGAUAAGGCUUCAGUUUUCACAGUUUUCCACCAUAUCGUCCUGAUGAAGGAUUGUCACUUCUGGCAGCUUUUGUAAAUAGCGUGAGAUCUUUCAUGCAGACCGCUCUGUCUGUAAUUAACCAUAUGUGGCGAACAGCAUCGCUCAGACAUUUCAGCGUUUCUAUAGAUCUGCUUUAGUUCUUGCAAACAUUGCACUACAUGAUCAUACUUAGCUAUUGCACUCAUGUGCGCGCACUGCUAGCAUAGUCUGUUGGAGCACUCUGUCAAAUAUCCACUUAACAUUUGUUACAUGACCAGGAUGCACAUGGCCACCAAGAACUAUUUUCCACAGGUCACCUUGCAGCAGAUCAGACUGACAUAUCUGCUUAAAACUCCAGUUAAAUGCCUUUUUCAUCACUCUAUCUCUGGAGGAAUAUGUCGUACUCUGAAAACACUCAGUCAUGCUGUGACUUGGUUGAACUUUCUUGGUAUCAGUGGCAUCCCAGAGUGACGCUGUCUGUAACUACUGUGUUUGUCCAUGCUUGAUGUGUCAGUAUAUAAGAGAUUCACAGAUCUUAACCCUUCUCCUUGUGUCUGUAUGUUUCACUUCACCUACACCAAACCCUCUCUACCAAAACCACAACCAUCAGAGCCCUCUGGGACCCAACACGCUCAUAGAUAUCCAGCUGUUCUGAGAAGUAUUCUCAAGAGCUAUGCAGCUUGGGAUCCCCAAGCAGUUCUUUGGUGAGACUGCAAUAACUUUUCAACUUUACCAGCUUAAUGUCCUCACUGGGUACAGUUUUGUUUUUUUGUUUUUUUCAAAGGACCCAUCCUUGUAGGUGCUUUCCACACUCUGUCAGUUCAUCUGCUUAGUUGGCCUGAUGCCUGAUGCUUUUAGUUAACAGACUCCUUCUUGGAGUCUGUCCUGUUCUGUCAGUAUGUAUGUGGCAAAAGGAUUGGUACCAAAGAAUUAGGUUUCUCUGCUAUAUUGUUAUGGGAAAUAGUGCCCUGUCACAUCCAAGGUAAUAUUUGUUUCACUGACUAACAAGUUUGCAUUGAAAUAUUUGAUUUUUGGCACAUUAUUUUUUUAGGGUAUCAAAUGUUUAGUCCAGAAUGGCUACUGUCUGUUUAAAAUGUUUUAAAAAUGUGAUUAUAUGACAGUUUUAUGCAAUCAGAUGCAACCUAUACAAUCUUUAUUUUAGUUACAGUCACUUAUGAAGACUUCCCAUCAACAUUUUCAGUCUACAAAAGUCUAUAGCUUUAGCAGUCUGUCACCCCCUGCCUCAACCCUUCCUUAGAGAUUACAUUUCUGAAAUAGUACAGCAAAAUGAUUUUGAAGGAAAUAUAACGUAAUUGUUAAAAUGAUGCAAUCAUGCUGCCAGGCAACCUAAAAUCUUUCUUAGAUCAAGUGCCAGACAGAAACCUUAGCUUUCAGAAAAGAUCUCACUUGUUCAAAGUGACUGUGUAUUUAUAUCCCUUUGUUGUAAGUAACAUGGUAGAAAUGACAUGCACUUUCCAAGUAUUGCCGUCCACGCUAACAGAAAGCUUAUUUGGUUCCAAUCCUUAUGCCACAUAUCGUGUGGCCAAUCUAAUAUUUGUAUUAACUUUAAGUGGUAUUUCAGCACCUUUGUAUGACCCACUGUGUGUACUCAAACCACAGCUGUUGAGGGAUCCCACUUAUAUAUUUUCUGGGAUGAAUGGACAUGUAGAAAAGUGAAUUAAGACAAGCAGAUGUGUUUUCACCAUCACGACAUCCUUCUCACCUGCCCUGCAAGGGCUCUGUAACUCCGUUCAUAUCAACCUUGGAUCCAUGACCCUUCACUCCACCCCGCCCUCCUCUCUUCUCUCACUGUCACCUCUGUUGAGUUGAGUUUCUUUUCAGUUCUCUUGUUUUACUUACGAUUUUUUGCUGUACAAAGUGUUUAAAAUAUUAUUUGUAUUAUAUGAUGUUAGUAUGGUAAUGUUCUUUAUUAAGGAAGAAGAAAAUUUAUUUUUGUUACUGGUCUGUUUCAUAAUUCUUUUCUAAAUUGGUAUUGUAAGAUAUCUAUGCAAGAACUGUUAAGUGGAGCAUUUUUAUUUAAGAAUGUAAUAUGUGUAAUAAAUGGU